GAUGAAGAACGUAGUGAAAUGCGAUAAGUAAUGUGAAUUGCAGAAUUCAGUGAAUCAUCGAAUCUUUGAACGCACAUUGCGCCCGCCAGUAUUCUGGCGGGCAUGCCUGUUCGAGCGUCAUUUCAACCAUCAAGCCCUGCUUGCCUUGGGGUCCUGCGGCUGCCCGCAGGCCCUGAAAACCAGUGGCGGGCUCGCUAGUCACACCGAGCGCAGUAAUACAUCUCGCUUUGGGCGUGCGGCGGGUUCUUGCCGUUAAACACCCCCUUUUUACCAAGGUUGACCUCGGAUCAGGUAGGAAUACCCGCUGAACUUAAGCAUAUCAAUAAGCGGAGGA
rnacentral:misc_RNA from 1 species